rnacentral:rRNA from 1 species
UACGUAGGGUGCGAGCGUUAAUCGGAAUUACUGGGCGUAAAGCGUGCGCAGGCGGUUUGUAAGCCAGAUGUGAAAUCCCCGGGCUUAACCUGGGAAUGGCAUUUGGGACUGCAAGGCUGGAGUUUGGCAGAGGAGACUGGAAUUCCCGGUGUAGCAGUGAAAUGCGUAGAUAUCGGGAGGAAUACCGAUGGCGAAGGCAGGUCUCUGGGCUAUAACUGACGCUCAUGCACGAAAGCGUGGGGAGCAAACAGG